GGGGCCGGGGUCUCGGUGCGGGUCCCUCCGCUCCGCCACCAGCACCGGGGCUGGUUCCGCCCCCGGGAAAUUCCCAGCCUGACGGACAGGGAUCUUUUUCCUCUGUGCUGCUGCUGGAAUUGUGCCGUGAUGAACCACUGAAAUCAGCCAGAGGAGCAAAGCACAGGAGCAUCUGGGGCUCAUUCAGUCUGCUCUUCGGGACUCACUCACUACCGGAUUUUCUUUCUUCUGUCAGUUUUGCCACAAAGAGAAGGUGGUGGGCUUUUAUUAAACAAAUGUGUAAAUAAAAACAAUAAAUCAGGAGUGAAGAAAUCCCACUCUAA